rnacentral:snoRNA from 1 species
AAGACUAUUACUUUCAGGGAAUCUUUCUAUAGUUUGUUAUAGGAGAGUUUCUACUGAACCGUGUAGAGACCGAAAACCACGAGGAGGGACCCCCCCGCCCCCCACCCGCCUAGUGUUCUCUUCUGAGCGUGAAAGCAGGCGUUUGGCGUUGCUUCCGGUGCAACUGCCAGCAGCAUGAUGAUCGUUCUUCUCUCCGCUUUGGGGAGUAAGAGGGAGAGAACGCUGUCUGAGUGGU